AUUGAACGCUGGCGGCAGGCCUAACACAUGCAAGUCGAACGGUAGCACAGAGAGCUUGCUCUCGGGUGACGAGUGGCGGACGGGUGAGUAACGUCUGGGAAACUGCCCGAUGGAGGGGGAUAACUACUGGAAACGGUAGCUAAUACCGCAUAACGUCGCAAGACCAAAGUGGGGGACCUUCGGGCCUCACACCAUCGGAUGUGCCCAGAUUGGAUUAGCUAGUAGGUGGGGUAAUGGCUCACCUAGGCGACGAUCCCUAGCUGGUCUGAGAGGAUGACCAGCCACACUGGAACUGAGACACGGUCCAGACUCCUACGGGAGGCAGCAGUGGGGAAUAUUGCACAAUGGGAGCAAGCCUGAUGCAGCCAUGCCGCGGGUAUGAAGAAGGCCUUCGGGUUGUAAAGUACUUUCAGCGGGGAGGAAGGCGGUGAAGUUAAUAACUUCACCGAUUGACGUUACCCGCAGAAGAAGCACCGGCUAACUCCGUGCCAGCAGCCGCCGCCGUAA
rnacentral:rRNA from 1 species